rnacentral:rRNA from 1 species
UACAGAGGGUGCGAGCGUUGUCCGGAAUCACUGGGCGUAAAGGGCGCGUAGGCGGCCUGAUAAGUCGGGGGGUGAAAUCCUGUGGCUUAACCACAGGGCUGCCUCCGAGACUGUCGGGCUCGAGCACAGUAGAGGCAGGUGGAAUUCCCGGUGUAGCGGUGGAAUGCGUAGAGAUCGGGAAGAACAUCGGUGGCGAAGGCGGCCUGCUGGGCUGUUGCUGACGCUGAGGCGCGACAGCGUGGGGGAGCAAACAGG